GACGAACGCUGGCGGCGUGCUUAACACAUGCAAGUCGAACGGAAAGGCCCUGCUUUUGUGGGGUGCUCGAGUGGCGAACGGGUGAGUAACACGUGAGUAACCUGCCCUUGACUUUGGGAUAACUUCAGGAAACUGGGGCUAAUACCGGAUAGGAGCUCCUGCUGCAUGGUGGGGGUUGGAAAGUUUCGGCGGUUGGGGAUGGACUCGCGGCUUAUCAGCUUGUUGGUGGGGUAGUGGCUUACCAAGGCUUUGACGGGUAGCCGGCCUGAGAGGGUGACCGGCGACAUUGGGACUGAGAUACGGCCCAGACUCCUACGGGAGGCAGCAGUGGGGAAUAUUGCACAAUGGGCGGAAGCCUGAUGCAGCAACGCGGCGUGCGGGAUGACGGCCUUCGGGUUGUAAACCGCUUUCGCCUGUGACGAAGCGUGAGUGACGGUAAUGGGUAAAGAAGCACCGGCUAACUACGUG
rnacentral:rRNA from 1 species